rnacentral:rRNA from 1 species
GAUGGACGCUGGCGGCGUGCCUAAUACAUGCAAGUCGAGCGAACAGAUGAGGAGCUUGCUCCUCUGACGUUAGCGGCGGACGGGUGAGUAACACGUGGAUAACCUACCUAUAAGACUGGGAUAACUUCGGGAAACCGGAGCUAAUACCGGAUAAUAUAUUGAACCGCAUGGUUCAAUAGUGAAAGACGGUUUUGCUGUCACUUAUAGAUGGAUCCGCGCCGCAUUAGCUAGUUGGUAAGGUAACGGCUUACCAAGGCAACGAUGCGUAGCCGACCUGAGAGGGUGAUCGGCCACACUGGAACUGAGACACGGUCCAGACUCCUACGGGAGGCAGCAGUAGGGAAUCUUCCGCAAUGGGCGAAAGCCUGACGGAGCAACGCCGCGUGAGUGAUGAAGGUCUUCGGAUCGUAAAACUCUGUUAUUAGGGAAGAACAAAUGUGUAAGUAACUAUGCACGUCUUGACGGUACCUAACCAGAAAGCCACGGCUAACUACGUG